rnacentral:rRNA from 1 species
UACGACUGCUGCUAAGACUGGAUAGGAAGAAAUAAGGCAUCUUAUUUCUUUUAAAAGACCUAGUAAUAGGUAUACUUUAGGAGGGGCUUGCGCCAUAUUAGUUAGUUGGUAGGGUAAUGGCCUACCAAGACGAUGAUGUGUAGCUGGACUGAGAGGUUGAACAGCCACAUUGGGACUGAGACACGGCCCAAACUCCUACGGGAGGCAGCAGUAAGGAAUUUUCGGCAAUGGAGGAAACUCUGACCGAGCAACGCCGCGUGAACGACGAAGUACUUUGGUAUGUAAAGUUCUUCUAUCAAGGAAGAAAAGCAAGUGGCGAACCAUUUGUUUGCCGGUACUUGAUGAAUAAGCCCCGGCUAAUUAUGUGCCAGCAGCCGCGGUAAGACAUAAGGGGCAAGUGUUAUCCGGAAUUAUUGGGCGUAAAGGGUGCGUAGGCGGUCUAGUAAGUCAGUGGUGUAAUGGCAACGCUCAACGUUGUCCGGCUAUUGAAACUGCUAAACUUGAGUUAGAUAGAGGCGAGUGGAAUUCCAUGUGUAGCGGUAAAAUGCGUAAAUAUAUGGAGGAACACCAGAGGCGUAGGCGGCUCGCUGGGUCUUAACUGACGCUGAGGCACGAAAGCGUGGGGAGCGAACAGGAUUAGAUACCCUGGUAGUCCACGCCGUAAACGAUGAGUACUAAGUGUCGGGUUAAACCGGUACUGAAGUUAACACAUUAAGUACUCCGCCUGAGUAGUACGUACGCAAGUAUGAAACUUAAAGGAAUUGACGGGACUCCGCACAAGCGGUGGAUCAUGUUGUUUAAUUCGAAGAUACCCGAAAAACCUUACCAGGUCUUGACAUGUUUUUGCGAAACGGUAGUAAUAUCGUAGAGGUUAUCAGAAACACAGGUGGUGCAUGGUUGUCGUCAGCUCGUGUCGUGAGAUGUUAGGUUAAGUCCUAAAACGAGCGAAACCCUUAUCGUUAGUUGCCAGCACGUUAUGGUGGGGACUUUAACGAGACUGCCAGUGAUAAACUGGAGGAAGGUGAGGAUCACGUCAAAUCAGCAUGCCCCUUAUGACCUGGGCUACAAACGUGAUACAAUGGCUGUUACAAAGGGUAGCUGAAACGUAAGUUCUUGGCCAAUCCCCAAAAACAGUCUCAGUCCGGAUUGAAGUCUGCAACUCGACUUCAUGAAGUUGGAAUCGCUAGUAAUCGCGAAUCAGCAUGUCGCGGUGAAUACGUUCUCGGGGUUUGUACACACCGCCCGUCAA